rnacentral:ncRNA from 1 species
CUAGUCUCUGGUGGUCGCUGCCCAUUCAGCGACCGGGUUUGACCGUCCGUGUA